rnacentral:rRNA from 1 species
UACGUAGGGCGCAAGCGUUAUCCGGAAUUAUUGGGCGUAAAGAGCUCGUAGGCGGUUUGUCGCGUCUGCCGUGAAAGUCCGGGGCUCAACUCCGGAUCUGCGGUGGGUACGGGCAGACUAGAGUGAUGUAGGGGAGACUGGAAUUCCUGGUGUAGCGGUGAAAUGCGCAGAUAUCAGGAGGAACACCGAUGCGAAGGCAGGUCUCUGGGCAUUAA